rnacentral:lncRNA from 1 species
AGAACCUUCAAGCCACAUUCUUAAUGCAGGUCUGAUCCCAUUGAAGGAGAGACAGAAGGAAGGAGGCUUGGGCAGGAAAAGUCUCAGACUGCAGCACGGUUCUAACUAGAAGAGAAGAAUCGCAAUGUUCCCAAUACAAAGGAAAGAUAAAUGUUGGAGGUGAUGGAUAGUCCUAUUACCCUGCUUUGAUCAUUACACAUUAUAUACAGGAACUGAAGACACAUUUUGUAGAAGUUGAUGGAUUAAGAAAAAGAAGUUGCAUUUUAUUACCUAUCCUAAAGAUAGAAGGUGAUCUGAACAUUCUAAUAUCACUUGCCAAGACUGUUGGAGCAUGGGGAAGAGAGGUUCCUCCCAUGACUGACAGCUUAGAAGCCAGAGGUUAAGGGAGCCUAUCGAUCAAUGCACUCCACGCAAACAUGUCCCAGGAGCAGGAUAGAACAAGGUGUAAAAGGGUGGGACUCUAUCUAGAGGGGCAAAAUGAAGAUAUCGAACACAUUGACAUGAAUAAAAUAUGUACAAUGUCAUUAUAAUGUGUCAAAUUUGCACAGAAAAAUAAUCAUAAAAUAUUCAAUGUCAUAGUCAACUACUAGUGGUGUUUUAUGCCAGCUGCACUUUAAC